rnacentral:rRNA from 1 species
UACGUAGGGUGCGAGCGUUAAUCGGAAUUACUGGGCGUAAAGGGUGCGCAGGCGGUUAUAUAAGACAGAUGUGAAAUCCCCGGGCUCAACCUGGGAACUGCGUUUGUAACUGUAUGACUAGAGUACGGUAGAGAGGGGUGGAAUUCCUGGUGUAGCAGUGAAAUGCGUAGAUAUCAGGAGGAACAUCGAUGGCGAAGGCAGCCCCUUGGACCUGUACUGACGCUCAUGCACGAAAGCGUGGGGAGCAAACAGG